UACCAUUAUAUGGAUAGAUCCGGGUAUCUACUGUAAUUACCAUUAUCUUCAAAGGUUUUAUGGUAAUUUUGCAUUUUCACGAUUUAAAUAAAAAAAAGAAAACAAAAUGUUUCUUUGUCUUCUCCGACGAUUCUAGGUUUUCACUUUCAAUUCGAGACUACGACAAACUUGAGCACGAGAAGUCUGCUGUUGGAGAGUAUCUCAGGUUCUUAAACACAGCAGGAAAGGACGAUUUAAAGAAGCUAAAGGUGAGAUGAGUACAUAACUCUGGUUUAAGGGGUAGUUGGAGAAAAGCAAGUUACUUACAUAGUUGAGUUAACGGUCUGGUCUGUGCUAGUUUAGAUCCAUGUAAUGAAUUUAGACUAGUAUACACAAAAAAUUAGGCAGAACUUUGUUUGGUGCUGCUUUAGAUGUUGACUUUUGGUGAAGUUGUACGUUUCUAUACAGUAGGAUACAAUUGGAUGUACUAAGACCGAUAUACCACAAUUUUUGUAAUGUAAAAAGCUUCUUAUAAACAACACUUUAACACC